UGAAUCCCCCUAAGCGGCGGGGCGUAUGGCAUAACACAACAGUGGUCCCAAGCGCACGCGAACUCAAACGCCAUUAAGAGUUCACCGGGAGGCACCCGGCA
rnacentral:ncRNA from 1 species